GACGAACGCUGGCGGCGUGCUUAACACAUGCAAGUCGAACGGAAAGGCCCUGCUUGCCGGGUACUCGAGUGGCGAACGGGUGAGUAACACGUGGGUGAUCUGCCCUGCACUUCGGGAUAAGCCUGGGAAACUGGGUCUAAUACCGGAUAGGAGCCAUUUUUAGUGUGAUGGUUGGAAAGUUUUUUCGGUGUAGGAUGAGCUCGCGGCCUAUCAGCUUGUUGGUGGGGUAAUGGCCUACCAAGGCGGCGACGGGUAGCCGGCCUGAGAGGGUGGACGGCCACAUUGGGACUGAGAGACGGCCCAGACUCCUACGGGAGGCAGCAGUGGGGAAUAUUGCACAAUGGGCGCAAGCCUGAUGCAGAGACGCCGCGUGGGGGAUGACGGCCUUCGGGUUGUAAACGCCUUUCGCUAGGGACGAAGCUUUUUGUGACGGUACCUAGAUAAGAAGCACCGGCUAACUACGUG
rnacentral:rRNA from 1 species